UACGUCAGGUCAAAGUGCAGCUAAUAAAAUGGGGACGAUGGGUUACACCCUAAAAAAAGAUACGGAAUAAAAUAUUAAGAGCUUUAUAAAGGAGGACUUGGAGGUAAUAUUUAAAUAUUUAAAUAUGAAACUGAAUCUAAGACAUGCACACAUCGCCCGUCACUCUCACCUUAAGGCGAGAUAAGUCGUAACAAAGUAGGUGUAACGGAAGUUGCACCUG
rnacentral:rRNA from 1 species